AUACAGAGGGUGCAAGCGUUAAUCGGAAUGACUGGGCGUAAAGGGCGCGUAGGUGGUUAGUUAAGUUAGCUGUGAAAGCCCCGGGCUCAACCUGGGAAGGUCAGCUAAAACUGGUUAACUAGAGUAUGGUAGAGGACAGUGGAAUUUCCGGUGUAGCGGUGAAAUGCGUAGAUAUCGGAAGGAACAUCAGUGGCGAAGGCGACUACCUGGACUAACAUUGACGCUGAGGUGCGAAAGCGUGGGGAGCAAACAGGAUUAGAAACCCGAGUAGUCC
rnacentral:rRNA from 1 species